AUUGAACGCUGGCGGCAGGCCUAACACAUGCAAGUCGAGCGAGCGGCGGACGGGUGAGUAAUGUCUGGGAAACUGCCUGAUGGAGGGGGAUAACUACUGGAAACGGUAGCUAAUACCGCAUACCAUCAGAUGUGCCCAGAUGGGAUUAGCUAGUAGGUGGGGUAACGGCUCACCUCGGCGACGAUCCCUAGCUGGUCUGAGAGGAUGACCAGCCACCCUGGAACUGAGACACGGUCCAGACUCCAACGGGGGGCAGGAGGGGGGAUUAUUGCACAAGGGGCGCAAGCCUGAUGCAGCCAUGCCGCGUGUGUGAAGAAGGCCUUCGGGUUGUAAAGAACUUUCAGCGGGGAGGCGUUACCCGCAGAAGAAGCACCGGCUAACUCGGUGCCAGCGGCCGCGUAAUUC
rnacentral:rRNA from 1 species